CGUGGGUAACCCGCCCAAGAGAUCGGGAUAACACCUGGAAACAGAUGCUAAUACCGGAUAACAACAGAUGAUGCCUAUCAACUGUUUAAAAGAUGGUUCUGCUAUCACUCUUGGAUGGACCUGCGGUGCAUUAGCUAGUUGGUAGGGUAACGGCCUACCAAGGCGAUGAUGCAUAGCCGAGUUGAGAGACUGAUCGGCCACAUUGGGACUGAGACACGGCCCAAACUCCUACGGGAGGCAGCAGCC
rnacentral:rRNA from 1 species